UGGAGAAUUUGUAGGAAAGCUGAACCAUUUCACAGGUUAAAAGAGGCUCACUCAUUGUUCUUACAAAGAAUCUCUAAGAGGACCAAAGCACCUUCCCUUGUAAAGGCCACUGACUUGGAGACGGGUCUUGUAAAUCCAUGGGAAACCUCCACUGUGAACAGCUUAAUUCACAAGAUUAAACCCCAGCUUGUGAAAUAUGAUGGGUACCAUGCAAGCAACAAAGUUUUCCCCGGAAAAG